CGAACGGGUGAGUAACACGUGGGUGAUCUGCCUCGCACUUCGGGAUAAGCCUGGGAAACUGGGUCUAAUACCGGAUAUGACCUUUCAGUGCAUGCUGUUGGGUGGAAAGAUUUAUCGGUGCGAGAUGGGCCCGCGGCCUAUCAGCUUGUUGGCGGGGUAACGGCCCACCAAGGCGACGACGGGUAGCCGACCUGAGAGGGUGACCGGCCACACUGGGACUGAGACACGGCCCAGACUCCUACGGGAGGCAGCAGUGGGGAAUAUUGCACAAUGGGCGGAAGCCUGAUGCAGCGACGCCGCGUGAGGGAUGACGGCCUUCGGGUUGUAAACCUCUUUCGACAGGGACGAAGCGCAAGUGACGGUACCUGUAGAAGAAGCACCGGCCAACUACGUGCCAGCAGCCGCGGUAAUACGUAGGGUGCGAGCGUUGUCCGGAAUUACUGGGCGUAAAGAGCUUGUAGGCGGUUUGUCGCGUCGUCCGUGAAAACUUGGGGCUCAACCCCAAGCUUGCGGGCGAUACGGGCAGACUUGAGUACUUCAGGGGAGACUGGAAUUCCUGGUGUAGCGGUGAAAUGCGCAGAUAUAGGAGGAACACCGGUGGCGAAGGCGGGUCUCUGGGAAGUAACUGACGCUGAGAAGCGAAAGCGUGGGUAGCGAACAGGAUUAGAUACCCUGGUAGUCCACGCCGUAAACGGUGGGUACUAGGUGUGGGUUUCCUUCCACGGGAUCCGUGCCGUAGCUAACGCAUUAAGUACCCCGCCUGGGGAGUACGGCCGCAAGGCUAAAACUCAAAGGAAUUGACGGGGGCCCGCACAAGCGGCGGAGCAUGUGGAUUAAUUCGAUGCAACGCGAAGAACCUUACCUGGGUUUGACAUACACCGGAAACCUGCAGAGAUGUAGGCCCCCUUGUGGUCGGUGUACAGGUGGUGCAUGGCUGUCGUCAGCUCGUGUCGUGAGAUGUUGGGUUAAGUCCCGCAACGAGCGCAACCCUUGUCCUGUGUUGCCAGCGCGUAAUGGCGGGGACUCGCAGGAGACUGCCGGGGUCAACUCGGAGGAAGGUGGGGACGACGUCAAGUCAUCAUGCCCCUUAUGUCCAGGGCUUCACACAUGCUACAAUGGCCGGUACAGAGGGCUGCGAUACCGUGAGGUGGAGCGAAUCCCUUAAAGCCGGUCUCAGUUCGGAUCGGGGUCUGCAACUCGACCCCGUGAAGUUGGAGUCGCUAGUAAUCGCAGAUCAGCAACGCUGCGGUGAAUACGUUCCCGGGCCUUGUACACACCGCCCGUCACGUCAUGAAAGUCGGUAACACCCGAAGCCGGUGGCCUAACCCC
rnacentral:rRNA from 1 species